AGAUGUCUUUGGCAGAAUCCAGUCCCUCAGUUCAGCCAGCCCUAAGCCCUCAGGAGCAGGAGGAUCUUGCUCUAGCCCAGGCUUUAGCCGUCAGUGAAGCAGAAUACCGACGUCAGCAGCAGAGGCAACAGGCAAGAGACUCCAAACAGUCCAACUGCAGCCUUUCUUAGUCUCCAAUUAGGUUUUUUCUGUUUGUUUUGUUUUAUGUCAUUUAAAACAUGAAUAUCCUGGAGAUCAGUGAAGACGAGCCGUCUGAAGUUGGGACGUUACCACCUUCUACAACACAAGCACAUGCUGUACUUUCCCAGCGAGAUGUUAUUUUUAACCGACGAUUUGCUUUGUAUAUAUUUUAUAUGCUGAUCAUAACAAAUGCAUUAUAUUAACACGUGAUUGUUGAAUAAAUUAUUUCCAAGGCGUAGGAGGAGAUGCUUUGAAAUUGUUUGCGGUGACGACAUACUUAGCACCUUAAUGGUAACGGAUUUACGGGAUGGUGUAUAACAGCGGUCGCCGAACUGUUUAUUGCAAUAAAAUUACAAUGUCAUAAUUAUUAAUCAUGUCACAAUAUAAAAUUUAACAGUGUAAUAUUAAAAGCUAAUAUUUACACACAGGUAUAAACUUACUAUAUUGCAGAAUCUGUUCCUUCAAAAUAAUUAACUUCAGUAGAAAUGACUGAAUUAAAAAAAACUGAUAUAAAAUCUAUUUAAAUGUAACAGUUGUAACAACGGGUUAGUACAGCAGAGGGCAGUCGUUUCUAAUGGCUGAUUAUUCAUUGGUUUAGAAACCUUGUUUUCCAAUUAUGUUACAAUACGUUAUCUACGAUGAAUCAGAUGUAGAUGACCAAACCAACAUUUCAUUUUUGCUUUGUAAAUGCUACAGAUUAUGUGAUCUGAUAACAUGCAUGCUGUCUGAAAUCCAAUUUCUGCCUUCUCCGUUUCAGGGUGGAUGCUUAUUUUAUAUCACUCUGCUCUGAUUAACAGUGGACAAAUCAUUGACAUUGACAUUUUACAAGUAAUUGACUUAAUAAGCUGUCUAAAUAACUGAACUGAAAACAAAUGUGCUCUCUGAAGCUCGGACUUGGAAAAGAACAUUCGCCAAAGCAGCAUGUUCAAGCUGCCCUCCUACUGGGCAGCUUGAAAGCCUGUCGAUAUGGUGUUUUGAUGUUGCGUGGAAAAUAGGAACCCCCCCCCCUUCAUAACAAACGCUGCGAGGGUUGGAAGAGAGAAAGAUAGGGCAGGAUGGGGAAGAGCCAUCGACAGAUGGACACUUGUGAUUAAAGAUGGCGGCUCUCUCGACUGCAGACCGCGAAGGACUUUGUUCGAGCCGAGAAAAGCGGCGGGAGCUGUCUGGGAUCCAGCACGAGAAAGCCAAGAGCAAGACAGGAAGGUGAAUCAGUAGGAACACGUGGACCACAAAGCAAAUUGCAUAUAGUCGAGAGGAGUUUGCAGAGAUUUCCAUGAUGUCGACUUUAAAGCAGACAGACGACUGCACGAUGGAAAAUUCAAGAAGAGGAGAGUCGGUUGGAGGACUGCUGUGGAAUACAACAGGACGCAAGGCGUUGUUCAGCAGUCCCACAUGUAGAGAUCUAGAUCUAACUGUUGUGCAGUGUGGGCUCCACUGGGACGUGAUUCUCCAAUGCUGGAACAAUGAGCAUAAGGGGCAAAAGGGACUACCUGUCAGGCCUCGGAGGCAGUUUUACUGAAGAUGCUCCCAGACCUCCAGUCCCUGGAGAGGAAGGUGAGCUGGUGUGCAGCGAAGAACGCCAAUGUAGCAACCUCAGCUUCUCCUCAAGAAAUGAGACCCUUAAAUGCGACGCAUCGGUGGCAACACCCCGGCGACCUGACCUGGACCUGGGUUAUGAGCCGGAAGGAAGUGCCUCUCCAACGCCACCCUUCCUGAAGUGGGCAGAGUCUCUUCAUUCCCUCCUGGAUGACCAGGAUGGCAUCCAUCUGUUUAGAAUGUUUCUCAAGCAGGAGGACUGUACUGAUAUGCUUGACUUCUGGUUUGCGUGCAGUGGUUUUCGCAAACUGGAAGCCAACGAGAGCAACGAGGAAAAAAAGGGUAAACUUGCGAAAGCUAUCUACAAGAAGUUCAUCCUGGACACAAAUGGGAUUGUGUCCAGACAGAUCAAACCGGCAACCAAAUCCUUCAUCAGAGACAGUUUAAUGAAGCUUACCAUCGAUCCGGCAAUGUUUGACCAGGCUCAGACCGAGAUACAGACUAUUAUGGAAGACAACACCUACCCUUUGUUCCUUAAGUCUGACAUUUAUUUGGAAUACACACAGACAGGAGGUGAGAGCCCCAAGCCCCUCAGUGAUCAGAGCUCAGUUUCUGGGGAUGGAAAGGAGCUGUCAGGUUAUUUACCAACUCUAAAUGAAGAUGAAGAGUGGAGAUGUGAGCAUGAGUCAGAGGAGCAGCUCAAAGAUGACCCCACAGCAGGCAACCAGCUUACCCAAAGGUUUCUAAUGGAGACGGCGCCACAGUCGAUUACCAGCGGCACAAGAGACAGGCAUGCACCAUGUCGGGAGACCCUCACCCCGUACCACGUCAACACUGGUUACACAAUAGCUGUUCCCACCAGCACCAAUGACAGUGAGCAGCAGAGUAUGUCCAGCGACGCAGACACAGUUUCCCUCACUGACAGCAGUUUAGAUGGGAUGCCACCGUGCACGCAGCGAAAACAGCACCGCAGGGAGAUGCAGGAAAGUGCCAAAGCAAAUGGGCGAUUGCCACUACCUCAUAUUCCACGCACAAGUAGGAUUCCAAAGGACAUUCACGUGGAGCCAGAGAGGUUUGCAGCACAGCUGAUCAGCAGACUGGAAGCGGUGCAGCUGGAGAGAGAGGCUCAAGACAAACUGGAGGAGCGACUGAAGAGAGUCCGAUUGGAAGAGAACGGCGAGGAAGCCACGACGUCUACAGCUACAGGAUUAUCUGGUCACAGGUUCCCAUCUGCUGUUUAUCCUCAGAACUACAACUCUCGCUGUGCUGACAUCACCCACACUAUCGCUCUACUGCGGGACGCACAUGAUGAGAACCCAGAAAGCAUCCUGGAUGACCACGUUCAGCGGGUCAUGAAGACCCCUGGCUGCCUGUCUCCCAGAGCAGGAUGGCGUUCACCCAGGUCGUGCUCUCCUGACAGAUUUCCUGCGGGGAAAGCGACAGGACCUGGAAAGUAUUUGUCAUCAAGCCAGGGCAAACAUCCAUCCAGGCAUCCAGGCCUGAAGGGAGAAUCUAGCCACCACCACCAGCACAAACAUGUGCAUCACAUCCACCACGCAGGCAGUGGGAAGCCCAGGGAGCAGGCGGAAACGGAGGCUACGGUGCGCGUACAGUCUCGCAGUUCUGCCGACGGCAUGGGCUCUAAUCCUUUGGAGCAUCCAAGUAUCAAAGGUAAGAGAGAGUACAGGAAAUUUGAGUCUGCGCGGCCUUACGACACAACGGGGAACGGAGAAGAGGUGGAGAAAAACCAGAAGAUUCUUUUGUGGCUCAUGGAGGGAGAAAAAGAAAUGGUUCAGCAUAAAAAGAGCCCUUAUGGGAGUACCACUGGGUCCAAGAGGAUCACAGGCCACGAGUCUUUCCGUCAUAGCUCAGUGGACAGAUGUGGCUCAGUGUACCCGUGUGUCAGCAGCACCCAGCUGAGGAACGAUGUGCAGCCGUCACAUCCCUUCAUCCAGGAUCCUACCAUGCCACCUAACCCAGCUCCCAGCCCUCUUAUCCAGUUGGAGGAGGUUUGCCGGCGUCUUGAAGAGCAAACAAUGAAGUCACGGGUUUUACAGACGAAGCAAAAGUACGUAAUGGAGGUGAUCCAACGGGGCCGCUCCGCCGCCAGGCCUAAAGUGUUCCCUCCACUCAACGUGGUGCCAGCCGUCUCUGACAGCGAGCUCUCGGAGCCUGAGCAUAAAGGCACUAAAAAGCCGCCAUGUGAAAACACCGUGGUGGCGUACUACUUCUGUGAAGAACAGAUUCCGUACAGGACGUCUGUGAAAGAAAGAGUUGUCACACUGGGCCAAUUCAAAGAACUGUUAACAAAGAAAGGAAACUACAGGUAUUAUUUCAAGAAAGUGAGCGACGAGUUUGACUGUGGUGUUGUGUUUGAGGAGGUACGUGAGGAUGAUGCUACGUUGCCCAUCUUUGAUGAGAAGAUCGUCGGUAAAGUCGAGAAGAUUGAAUAAAGUGGAAAGUUGAAAAAUGGAGGAGAGAGAAAAUGGAGAGAAUUUGGAUGGCAAACAGGAAGUCUUGUUUUCACGGAGGAGGAAUGGAAGGAUAGAUACAGGAGGGAUGUCGCGUUACACUGGACGAAGAACCUGUUUUUUUCCUCUCACUUCUAAUGUAGACGUUUAAAGAGCGUAUACAGUAGAUGAAGAACAAAAGUUCUCCUGAAGCCUCAUAUUUUUGAUAUGUGAAACACUAAUGUCCGGUCUUACUGAAGCAUGAAUGUGGCUCCUCUUGAAGAUUUCCUACAGCGCUUUGCAGCACCGAGAGGCAGAACAAUUAUAUACUCUUCCACCAGGUGGCAGCCAUAAAAACUAAAAAGGACGCUUUGAACUCUCUUUUCAAUUCCUGUGAGUAUAUCAGCAUCGUGUUCAACUAAAAAGGCUGAGUAAGUAACCUGUGACUAAAUUGAAACUAGAAGAUUUUGUUUUUUUGGAUGGCAGUGGGAUUUUUUUUCAAAUGUCAAUUAUGUGCCGUGGCUCAAACAAGGUUGGAUAACACUGAUCUACAGUGGCUGUUUCUUUUUCUGUGUGUUUGUUUGUGCUCAGCUCCCUGUGGACUCAAACUCCUCUCAUUACUCUAUUGAACUCGCUUUGUAGCGUUCAGUUGAGUUGCACUUUUGUUUUCUUUGUGUUGCAUAACCACAGUCUCUGUCAGAGAGAGCAGCCUGCAGAAGUUCUGAAGCACAAGACACUGUGACACAACAGAAAAACAGAGACUCUCGCUGAGUCUACCGCAGUCCCCUAGAACCGCUGUGGCAUAAAUCGUUUCUACAAAGCUCGUAUUCGGUGUCUGAACUUCAAUUUUAGAAUUAUCGCACACACAGGUCAGAAGGUUGAUUGCGUCAUCCAACCCAAAUGAUUUAAAAUAUUCAGAUGAAUAUGCAGAUUUUGAGGGAUUCAGACUGUGCAUUUUUAAUAAUGGAAGAAAAACGUGGCCAAACACUGUGACAUGAAUGUGGGUUGCAUUAAGGCAGAUACAUUUUACUGUAUAGUCAAUGAUUUGGAAUUCAGGCAGUCCACCUUAAUUGUGAACGAAAUGUAGCAGGACAUUCAAACGAUACGUUUAAUAUGAGAUUCAGAAGCAAUACUACAGUAAUAUUCCAAAUACGACGGACUGAUAAAUAUCUAUGCAAAGUUGGAUUUUAAUUUAGCUUGUCUUUGCAUUUGAGAUUAAUAGGUUCAAAAUGCCAACAAAGGCGGAAAUGAAACAUUAGGUUAUUAUUGACAUAUCUGACACAUUAAUAAACCGGAUUGAUUUUUUUUUUUUUUUUUUUUUGAUGAUGCAAGCUAUACUAGUACAAUGGAGAUGACUUGCAUGUUAUGUGGUAUAAUUGAAUACUCAUAAUACUUCUAUCAAAUUAUCAGGAGACACUUAGUCAAUAUCACUUAUGUGAUAUAAUGUGUUUUCUGGAUUGUCUUGAUUGCAGUAUAAAAUAUAAAACGUUGAACAAAUGCCUCCACACAUGGGUCCUCCGUUUCAACAAAAACAGAGGAUUUAGUUAAAAACAAACAACCUUGUUAUUGUUUGUUGGUUGGAUGCUGGGGUUUAACAUGACCUAUCCUAGAACUAUUCUGCAGGACUCCUGAGAGAUAGCGGUGCCUAAAUUGUAUUAUUUUUUAAGAUGAAUGUCAUAAUAAUAUUUCCAUUAAUAAUAUUAUUUAUUUAUGUGUAUUUAUUGAAUUUCUCUACAACACUUACAUUCGGCCUUUGAUGCACAGAAGGGACAACUCUGCAAAUUUUGUACAUAUCCUAUUGCUAUAAAUAUAAUUUUUUUUAUAACUAAGUUUCAAACUUAAUUUAAGUUAAAUUGUUGAAUAUUGUUUAAAUUGUCUAAUAUUUGCCUUCUUGCACUUGCAUUACACAAACAAGUAGUUCUAAGUUUCACCACUGUUGGGGAAAAGAGAAAAUACAAGUGGAGGGCAACAUUGCUGCAGACAAGCAUCCCAUAAUGCAGUGUUUCCUAAACUUUUUUUUCUGGGGACCCGUAUUUAAAAAGUCACAAACCUUCGCGACCCAAAUCAAUAGACAUUAGUUGUAAACUCCUGGGAAACGUGAUGCGAGGCAACCCAAAAGAAAUCUCGUGUGACCCACCUGAGGGUCACGACCCAGUCUUUGGGAAACAAUGCUAUAAUGCACAUUUGAAAUGAUGAUGAAGUGUUGUUUUAUUUUAUCUUUGAU